AUUGAACGCUGGCGGCAGGCCUAACACAUGCAAGUCGAGCGGAUGAAGGGAGCUUGCUCCUGGAUUCAGCGGCGGACGGGUGAGUAAUGCCUAGGAAUCUGCCUGGUAGUGGGGGAUAACGUCCGGAAACGGGCGCUAAUACCGCAUACGUCCUGAGGGAGAAAUUGGGGGAUCUUCGGACCUCACGCUAUCAUAUGAGCCUAGGUCGGAUUAGCUAGUUGGUGGGGUAAAGGCCUACCAAGGCGACGAUCCGUAACUGGUCUGAGAGGAUGAUCAGUCACACUGGAACUGAGACACGGUCCAGACUCCUACGGGAGGCAGCAGUGGGGAAUAUUGGACAAUGGGCGAAAGCCUGAUCCAGCCAUGCCGCGUGUGUGAAGAAGGUCUUCGGAUUGUAAAGCACUUUAAGUUGGGAGGAAGGGCAGUAAGUUAAUACCUUGCUGUUUUGACGUUACCAACAGAAUAAGCACCGGCUAACUUCGUG
rnacentral:rRNA from 1 species